rnacentral:rRNA from 1 species
CCUACGGGUCGCUGCAGUGGGGAAUAUUGGACAAUGGGCGAAAGCCUGAUCCAGCCAUGCCGCGUGUGUGAAGAAGGCCUUCGGGUUGUAAAGCACUUUCAGUGGGGAAGAAAGCCUUGGGGCUAAUACCCUCGAGGAAGGACAUCACCCACAGAAGAAGCACCGGCUAACUCCGUGCCAGCAGCCGCGGUAAUACGGAGGGUGCGAGCGUUAAUCGGAAUUACUGGGCGUAAAGCGCGCGUAGGCGGUCUGAUAAGCCGGUUGUGAAAGCCCCGGGCUCAACCUGGGAACGGCAUCCGGAACUGUCAGGCUAGAGUGCAGGAGAGGAAGGUAGAAUUCCCGGUGUAGCGGUGAAAUGCGUAGAGAUCGGGAGGAAUACCAGUGGCGAAGGCGGCCUUCUGGACUGACACUGACGCUGAGGUGCGAAAGCGUGGGUAGCAAACAGGAUUAGAGACCCUAGUAGUC